UGGGGAAUAUUGGGCAAUGGGCGCAAGCCUGACCCAGCAACGCCGCGUGAAGGAAGAAGGCCCUCGGGUUGUAAACUUCUUUUAUCAGGGACGAAGAAGUGACGGUACCUGAUGAAUAAGCCACGGCUAACUACGUGCCAGCAGCCGCGGUAAUACGUAGGUGGCAAGCGUAUCGGAUUACUGGUGUAAAGGCGUGUAGGCGGGAUGGUAAGUCAGAUGUGAAAACUCAGGGCUCAACCCUGAGCCUGCAUUUGAAACUAUCGUUCUUGAGUGAUGGAGAGGCAGGCGGAAUUCCGUGUGUAGCGGUGAAAUGCGUAGAUAUACGGAGGAACACCAGUGGCGAAGGCGGCCUGCUGGACAUUAACUGACGCUGAGGCGCGAAAGCGUGGGGAGCAAACAGGAUUAGAUACC
rnacentral:rRNA from 1 species